GACGUAGGGCGCGAGCGUUGUCCGGAUUUAUUGGGCGUAAAGAGCUCGUAGGCGGCUCGUUGCGUCGGCUGUGAAAACCCGCAGCUCAACUGUGGGCUUGCAGCCGAUACGGGCGGGCUGGGAUUCGGUAGGGGAGACUGGAAUUCCUGGUGUAGCGGUGAAAUGCGUAGAUAUCUGGAGGAACACCGGUGGCGAAGGCGGCAUCCUGGACCGACACUGACACUGAGGAGCGAAAGCCAGGGGAGCAAACGGG
rnacentral:rRNA from 1 species